rnacentral:rRNA from 1 species
UAGGGAAUCUUCGGCAAUGGACGGAAGUCUGACCGAGCAACGCCGCGUGAGUGAAGAAGGUUUUCGGAUCGUAAAGCUCUGUUGUAAGAGAAGAACGAGUGUGAGAGUGGAAAGUUCACACUGUGACGGUAUCUUACCAGAAAGGGACGGCUAACUACGUGCCAGCAGCCGCGGUAAUACGUAGGUCCCGAGCGUUGUCCGGAUUUAUUGGGCGUAAAGCGAGCGCAGGCGGUUAGAUAAGUCUGAAGUUAAAGGCUGUGGCUUAACCAUAGUACGCUUUGGAAACUGUUUAACUUGAGUGCAAGAGGGGAGAGUGGAAUUCCAUGUGUAGCGGUGAAAUGCGUAGAUNUNUGGAGGAACACCGGUGGCGAAAGCGGCUCUCUGGCUUGUAACUGACGCUGAGGCUCGAAAGCGUGGGGAGCAAACAGGAUUAGAUACCCUGGUAGUCCACGCCGUAAACGAUGAGUGCUAGGUGUUAGACCCUUUCCGGGGUUUAGUGCCGCAGCUAACGCAUUAAGCACUCCGCCUGGGGAGUACGACCGCAAGGUU